CGGCACGCCUAACACAUGCAAGUCGAACGAAGUAGCAAUACUUAGUGGCAGACGGGUGAGUAACAUGUAGGUAUCUGCCCUUUGGCCUGGAAUAACACGAGGAAACUUGUGCUAAUACCGGAUAAGUCUUUACGGAGAAAGCUUUAUGCACCAUUGGAUGAGCCUGCACUUGAUUAGUUAGUUGGUAAGGUAAUGGCUUACCAAGACUUUGAUCAAUAGCUGAUUUGAGAGGAUGAUCAGCCACAUUGGGACUGAGACACGGCCCAAACUCCUACGGGAGGCAGCAGUGGGGAAUCUUGCACAAUGGAGGAAACUCUGAUGCAGCGAUGCCGCGUGAGUGAAGAAGGCCCUUGGGUUGUAAAGCUCUUUCGUCGGGGAAGAAAAUGACUGUACCCGAAUAAGAAGGUCCGGCUAACUUCGUGCCAGCAGCCGCGGUAAUACGAAGGGACCUAGCGUAGUUCGGAAUUACUGGGCUUAAAGAGUUCGUAGGUGGUUGAAAAAGUUGGUGGUGAAAUCCCAGAGCUUAACUCUGGAACUGCCAUCAAAACUUUUCAGCUAGAGUUUGAUAGAGGAAAGCAGAAUUUCUAGUGUAGAGGUGAAAUUCGUAGAUAUUAGAAAGAAUACCAAUUGCGAAGGCAGCUUUCUGGAUCAUUACUGACACUGAGGAACGAAAGCAUGGGUAGCGAAGAGGAUUAGAUACCCUCGUAGUCCAUGCCGUAAACGAUGUGUGUUAGACGUUGGAAAUUUAUUUUCAGUGUCGCAGCGAAAGCGAUAAACACACCGCCUGGGG
rnacentral:rRNA from 1 species